CCUCCCGAGUGCUUGCACUCAAUUGGAAAGAGGAGUGGCGGACGGGUGAGUAACACGUGGGUAACCUACCCAUCAGAGGGGGAUAACACUUGGAAACAGGUGCUAAUACCGCAUAACAGUUUAUGCCGCAUGGCAUAAGAGUGAAAGGCGCUUUCGGGUGUCGCUGAUGGAUGGACCCGCGGUGCAUUAGCUAGUUGGUGAGGUAACGGCUCACCAAGGCCACGAUGCAUAGCCGACCUGAGAGGGUGAUCGGCCACACUGGGACUGAGACACGGCCCAGACUCCUACGGGAGGCAGCAGUAGGGAAUCUUCGGCAAUGGACGGAAGUCUGACCGAGCAACGCCGCGUGAGUGAAGAAGGUUUUCGGAUCGUAAAACUCUGUUGUUAGAGAAGAACAAGGACGUUAGUAACUGAACGGUCCCCUGACGGUAUCUAACCAGAAAGCCACGGCUAACUACGUGCCAGCAGCCGCGGUAAUACGUAGGUGGCAAGCGUUGUCCGGAUUUAUUGGGCGUAAAGCGAGCGCAGGCGGUUUCUUAAGUCUGAUGUGAAAGCCCCCGGCUCAACCGGGGAGGGUCAUUGGAAACUGGGAGACUUGAGUGCAGAAGAGGAGAGUGGAAUUCCAUGUGUAGCGGUGAAAUGCGUAGAUAUAUGGAGGAACACCAGUGGCGAAGGCGGCUCUCUGGUCUGUAACUGACGCUGAGGCUCGAAAGCGUGGGGAGCAAACCGGAUUAGAUACCCUGGUAGUCCACGCCGUAAACGAUGAGUCGCUAAGUGUUGGAGGGUUCCCGCCCUUCAGUGCUGCAGCAAACGCAGUUAAGCACUCCGCC
rnacentral:rRNA from 1 species